UACGAAGGGGGCUAGCGUUGCUCGGAAUCACUGGGCGUAAAGCGCACGUAGGCGGAUUGUUAAGUCAGGGGUGAAAUCCUGGAGCUCAACUCCAGAACUGCCUUUGAUACUGGCGAUCUUGAGUCCGGGAGAGGUGAGUGGAACUGCGAGUGUAGAGGUGAAAUUCGUAGAUAUUCGGAAGAACACCAGUGGCGAAGGCGGCUCACUGGCCCGGUACUGACGCUGAGGUGCGAAAGCGUGGGGAGCGAACAGG
rnacentral:rRNA from 1 species